rnacentral:rRNA from 1 species
GAUAGAGGNNUACCAUGGUGGUAACGGGUAACGGGGUGUUAGGGCACGACACCGGAGAGGGAGCCUGAGAAACGGCUACCACAUCCAAGGAUGGCAGCAGGCGCGCAAAUUACCCAAUCCCGACACGGGGAGGUAGUGACAAUAAAUAACAAUACGGGGUUCUUUAGGAUCUCGUAAUUGGAAUGAGUACAAUUUAAAUCUCUUAACGAGGAACAAUUGGAGGGCAAGUCUGGUGCCAGCAGCCGCGGUAAUUCCAGCUCCAAUAGCGUAUAUUAAAGUUGUUGCAGUUAAAAAGCUCGUAGUUGAAUUUCGGGGUUAGUAGGUUGGUCAUGCCUCUGGUAUGUACUGGUCUCACUGAUUCCUCCUUCCAUAUGAACCGUAAUGCCAUUAAUUUGGUGUUGCGGGGAAUUUGGACUGUUACUUUGAAAAAAUUAGAGUGUUUAAAGCAAGCUAACGCUUGAAUACAUUAGCAUGGAAUAAUGAAAUAGGACGUUCGAUCUUAUUUUGUUGGUUUCUAGGAUUGACGUAAUGAUUAAUAGGGAUAGUUGGGGGCAUUAGUAUUCAAUUGUCAGAGGUGAAAUUCUUGGAUUUAUUGAAGACUAACUACUGCGAAAGCAUUUGCCAAGGAUGUUUUCAUUAAUCAAGAACGAAAGUUAGGGGAUCGAAGACGAUCAGAUACCGUCGUAGUCUUAACCAUAAACUAUGCCGACUAGGGAUCGG